ACCUCGGUACCCAAAAUAUGUGGGACUCAUGAUCAGAGAAUCCUAAUUCUCGAUCAUAGAGUCCCAGACAUGUAGGACUCAUAGUUCACAAGCAUUAGGACUCUUCAUCAGCCAUCAGAUCAGAUAGGAACCUCUAAUGUGUGUGACCCCGCAGGUUCGAAUCUAAGCCGGUAGCACAGGAACCAAUUCUUGUACUAAUCUAAGUGACCAUCUAGCAAUGGUACCUGAUGAUCGGAUAGGUCAAAUAGUCACAAUCGCAACACUCAGAACCUACGUGAAUAUGGUUACUGUAUAAUUCAUCCUUUUGACCUCUGUGUUUAGGACGACUCAGGGUUAAACUGUCAACCCUGAUUAGAUCAUCCAAAUCGUGCUCAACUCAAACAGUCCUAUGACUCCUCACAAAGACUACCCUGG
rnacentral:lncRNA from 1 species